UUGUCUCAAAUUUUCAAAACCAAAAAUCAGUUAACAAUUAGAAAUCACCUCCUUGUUUUCUUCUUGUUCGAACAACCACCACCAAGCUUCCCUCCUUCCUUUCACGGCACCACCGUGCUGCAACCACCCAACCACGCAGCCCCAUUCUCAGCCACCCUCACCACCAUCUCCGGCGCAACACCCGACCCAAACACCUCCCUUAUUUCUCCUCCUCCUUCGUCGUGAACUCCCCUGCCCCUCCCCUGCUUUUCGGUUCAACUCACCUCCCCUGACUUUUCUCUUCUUCACGCCCAGCCGCCGGCACCGCCGUUAGGCUGCGCACCACCCUCCAUCUCCUCUGUGCGCAAGCCGCAACCACCGCACCCCCCCUGAACCAUCCCACUCUCAAAUCCCAGCUUCUCCUUUUCAGUGCACACGACCUCCCUCUUCCCCUUCCUUGCUGUUUCGCCGCCGCGAACACACCACCACCAUCGCCUUACCGGCGCGAUUCCGCGCCUUUGCAAAGUCCAGAACCCGAGCGCAGCCCCACCCCCUCUCUCUCCUCUCCUCUCCCUCCUCUGUUUCGAGCCUCCUCUCCCUGCUUCCCCUGUUUUUGUUCGAAAGCCCCAGGGAACAAAACAAAAGAAAAAAAAAAAAAGAAAAAAAAAGAAAAAAAAGAAAAGGGAACAAACCCAAUUAGUUUUACUGCUUCUAAACCCACCAUCCAAGCCAAGCCCAAUAUCCUAUCCUUGACCCAAAACUUCAAAAAAUUGGGCUCGGGGCUCAGGAAGGACGAUCCAUCAGACAGGGAGUAUAAAAACUACGGUUGAGGUACUGCUGGGGACCACGGAAACGAGUAGUGGAGAGGAUUUCACUAUUGCAAGUUCACAUAAGUUAAUGUUAAGUUGUAACAAGUUUAAGUAAAGAUUCUUGAUUAAGUUUCGUACUUUUAUUAAGGAAUUGAGAAGGAUGAUUAUGUGAAUUUUGGAGUUUAAUAGCUUAUGAUUGAUAGUUGCCUUGUAAUUCCCAAGAGGGAGUUACGGUGGGUAAUGUCCCGACCGAAUUAGGUUAAUUCCGCUGCUAAUUAUGAUUAAAUAAUUGAAUUAGAGUUCGGGGUGUUACAGAUCCCAACAAUGUAAUUACAACGUACAUGGUUAUUAUUUUUGUAUAUCUUUACUUUUUUUACAGGUUUAGACAUACGGUAAUAAAAAAAUCA